UGAGGAAUAUUGGUCAAUGGGCGAGAGCCUGAACCAGCCAAGUAGCGUGCAGGAAGACGGCCCUAUGGGUUGUAAACUGCUUUUAUGCGGGGAUAAAGUGAGGGACGUGUCCUUCAUUGCAGGUACCGCAUGAAUAAGGACCGGCUAAUUCCGUGCCAGCAGCCGCGGUAAUACGGAAGGUCCAGGCGUUAUCCGGAUUUAUUGGGUUUAAAGGGAGCGUAGGCCGUGGAUUAAGCGUGUUGUGAAAUGCAGGUGCUCAACGUCUGCACUGCAGCGCGAACUGGUCCACUUGAGUGUGCGCAACGCAGGCGGAAUUCGUCGUGUAGCGGUGAAAUGCUUAGAUAUGACGAAGAACUCCGAUUGCGAAGGCAGCUUGCGGGAGCACAACUGGCGCUGAAGCUCGAAAGUGCGGGUAUCGAACAGGAUUAGAUACCCUGGUAGUCCGCACGGUAAACGAUGGAUGCCCGUUGUCAGGCUGUUUCAGCCUGGUGACCAAGCGAAAGCAUUAAGCAUCCCACCUGGGGAGUACGCCGGCAACGGUG
rnacentral:rRNA from 1 species